rnacentral:rRNA from 1 species
GACGAACGCUGGCGGCGUGCUUAACACAUGCAAGUCGAACGGAAAGGCCCUGCUUUUGUGGGGUGCUCGAGUGGCGAACGGGUGAGUAACAAGUGAGUAACCUGCCCUUGACUUUGGGAUAACUUCAGGAAACUGGGGCUAAUACCGGAUAGGAGCUCCUGCUGCAUGGUGGGGGUUGGAAAGUUUCGGCGGUUGGGGAUGGACUCGCGGCUUAUCAGCAUGUUGGUGGGGUAGUGGCUUACCAAGGCUUUGACGGGUAGCCGGCCUGAGAGGGUGACCGGCCACAUUGGGACUGAGAUACGGCCCAGACUCCUACGGGAGGCAGCAGUGGGGAAUAUUGCACAAUGGGCGGAAGCCUGAUGCAGCAACGCCGCGUGCGGGAUGACGGCCUUCGGGUUGUAAACCGCUUUCGCCUGUGACGAAGCGUGAGUGACGGUAAUGGGUAAAGAAGCACCGGCUAACUACGUG